UUUAUGGAGAGUUUGAUCCUGGCUCAGGACGAACGCUGGCGGCGUGCUUAACACAUGCAAGUCGAACGGACUCGUGCAAAGCACGGAGUGCUUUGCAGUUAUGAGUGUUGAGUGUUGAGUGUUGAGUGAAAUAAGAUGUUUUCUUUUUCCACUCAACACUCAACACUCAACACUCAACAUUGCGCAAAGCAUUGCGUGCUUUGCGCGAGUUAGUGGCGGACGGGUGAGUA
rnacentral:rRNA from 1 species